rnacentral:ncRNA from 1 species
UUAAAUGCAACGACAGGACAAUAGUAGCAUUGAUCUCCCUGUUCUUCAGAGAGCUGAUGGUUGGUGAAAAUCAGUACAAAGAACAAUGUGAAGUACGCCCCUCGAGCAGCUUUUCAGACAUCUUGUACAUUACAAGGUGAAAGGGAAGUCGGUUUAACCGUUAUCUCAAUGAAGUGAUGAAUGUUGAAUAUGAUACAUUUAUUAAAAUAGGGUGGUACCGCGAUAAAAUCGUCCCUACU